rnacentral:misc_RNA from 1 species
UGAUAUUGGCACGGCUCAAUCAAAAAGCAGGGCCCAAGCACAUUUCUGGCGCUGUUUUCUUAUUGAACCGGACCAAUAUCCCGUUCAACUCACCUCCUCUCUUCUCAUCUAUGGACGUACCCAUGCCCAGAAAAGCUCACGUUUCUUUCAAUUCUAUGCAACAAACACAUAUGAAAGACUAUAUGUGAAGUAAUAAUUAAUGUAGGUUAUUGCAGAGUGAAAAUGGUUUGUUGGAUUAAAAAAGAAAUGCUAAAUUCGGUGCAGAAAGAGAAGAAAGAUGGGUAUGCAAAGAAGAAGA